rnacentral:misc_RNA from 1 species
GUAGGUGAACCUGCGGAAGGAUCAUUAACACGUUCCAAACGUUUAAUACACCCCUCUGUGAACUAAAAGUCCGGCGCAAGUCGGCCCUUUUAACCAAAAAUCCUGGCUGGUGUGGCAACACAACGUCUAGGUCGCUGAAAGGCUUUGCGAAAGCGGGUCCCUCUGCGUGUCUCUCACGAGAUGCGUAGACAGCGUCAAACCCAACCAAACCCUUGAACCUAACUAUCUGAAACCUCUAACUACGACACGC